GAUGAACGCUGGCGGCGUGCCUAACACAUGCAAGUCGAGCGGACAGACGAAGACUUGCCUCGGCUCACGUGAGGGGCGGGCGGGUGAAUCACACGGGUAUACCCUACCGAUCAGACUGAGAUACCUUCGGGAAAGCGGAUAUAACACGGGAGAAUAACAUGAAGGACGUGGUUCUAGAGAGAUAGACGGUUUGGCUGUAGCUUGUAGCUUGUACCGCGCUGGAUUAGCUAAUUGCUAAGGUAACGGCCUACCAAGGCGACGAUGCGUAGCCGAUCUGACAGGGUGAUCGGCCACACUGGAACUGAGACACGGUCCAGACUCCUACGGGAGGCAGCAGUCGGGAAUCUUCCGCAAUGGGCGAAAGCCUGACGGAGCAACGCCGCGUGUGUGAUGAAGGUCUUCGGAUCGUAAAGCUCUGUUACUAGGGAAGAACAAAUGUGUAAGUAAACAUGGACGUCUUGACGGUACCUAAACAGAAAGCACCGGCUAACUACGUG
rnacentral:rRNA from 1 species